ACCAGUAAUUUCCACUCUUCCUGGGGAGAUCUAGUUUUUCAGAUGAAGGUAUUUUCAUGAUGCUGGCUGUUAAGUAUAGGAUGCAUGAAAGUUGUAUGAUGCUUGAGAGCCAGAGGCCCUGAAGUAAGGCACCACAGUGUAUGGUGGGCUGUUCAAGAGAAGGUCAUGUUAGUCCAGUAGAAGUGUCAGCAGCAAGACCAUACCUGGUAUGAUUAUUCAAGGCUUAAUUUCUGAGUGUUCGGCCUGCGUGUGUUAUUUAUGUGAACGGUAGAGUCAUGUAGCAAUUAGAGAAACAAUUAAAUAAGUCUAUCUAAUGUGAUUGGAAGUGAAAGCAAAACAAACU
rnacentral:lncRNA from 1 species